UUCAGCGGCAGUCAGCUGUCCAUGUCAGUACCGUGCUUGACAGUGUUACACUGCUGGGAGAGGAAAAUAUUGUCCAAUCUGUCUGUCACUGUCACUGUUCUGGAGGCAUAUUGGCAGCAGGGUGGGGCAGUGCUGUGCUUCUUUGAGAGUGUGCUGAGAAGUUAAUAUCCUGCUCAGCACUAGAAUGGGAGCAUACACA
rnacentral:snoRNA from 1 species